CUGGUGUCUGAGCCCCCUUCCCUCAGCCUGUCUCAGGUCAGUGGCUGCUUCACUGAGGGUGCAAAGCCUCGUCUGCCGGAGACCCAGCUGCCCUGGCCACUGCAGCCCCACCCCCACUGCAGGCUGGGCAUCCUGAGGCUGGCAGGCAUCUCUUCAGGCAGCCGCCGGUCCUGGCACUGGCUCCAGCCACUCAGCCCCUUGGCCCUGCCAGUUCUUUGAAGCUCAUGCAGCGCUUCCUGUUUGGGGCGGGCGAUGCCAGGGCCCCUCCCCCACUAUUGUUCUGUAGAGACCAUAGGUCCAUCUGUUGCCCCAUGGUGGGGCCCCUAGGCAGUGCCACACGGGAGCAGCACCACAAAGGACCCUGCUGGCAGCUUUGCUUACAUGGAGCCAGGCUGGGCCCUGGAGCAGGUUGAGGAUGAAUGGUGGUGUGGAGGCAAGUGCCCUGUAAUUCUGCAGCUCAUCUCCUCUGCCGUGGCCUGAUUCUAUGGGUCGGACCUCUACCUGCUUCCUCCCACAGGGCUGGAAGCCCAGACAUGGUCUACCCCACUUCCCUUGCCAGAUCCUCUGGCCUCUCUUCCCAGCCCAGGACCUGAAUUGCCUAGAUCGCAGCUCCCAGAAGGAGAGAGCUGCAGAGACGUCAGAUGGAGGCCAUAGAGUGAGAUGCUGAAUGUAAGAGGAGAACUUGGUAGCUGACACAAAGCUCCAUCCAGGAUCCAGUCCCUUCUCCACAAGAUUCAGCAUCAGUCAGCAGUGAUCCCAUGACCACUGGGAACCAAACGCUGUCCUAGGCCUUCCUUGUGCUCCCUCUCCAUCUCCAGCCAAAGUGGGUCGAGCUGAGGGACAGGGAGGUGAUCUGGAAAGAGCAAGUGCAACUCUCUGCUCUGCCGUGUAUCAGCUGUCUGUUUAAUCACAUCCUCAGAACCUCAACUUCUUCACCUAUAAAAUGUAAAUAAAUAGAACAGACCUUGAGAGACCCAAGUGAAGCUUCAAGGAGAGAGGGCAGCGCAUCUACAAAAUCAGCCCAGGGCCUGCCCGCUGAGCACUUCCUGUCGGCUUGCUUCUCUUCCACUUUCUCUGAGCCUCAUUCCUCUGGGACCCCAUGACCCCUGUCGUGGCUCUGCCCUCAAAAACCCCUCUCAUCUCUCGGGGAAUCAGAGUGGAGUCAGAAGAAAGAGGCUUAAUUGAGAAGGUUUUUCUGGUUUCUCAAAAGACCACGAUUCUGGGGAAGAGAGGCUCAGGAUGGGUAUGAGAGAGGAAGCCCUCAGGCAUAUAGAAUAUGGCCGCAGAGGGACAGGAGUGUUACCUUGGGGGGGCGGAGUCCUGCUUUCCUGGAGGAGAGUGGGCGAGUGGGCACUACUCCAGCUCCAGAGCAUGGAUCGGAUAGGCCGGGCGGGGGCUGGGCCAGGCGUGGCUCUUCUGCCAGCCUGCCCUCAUGGUCCAGCCCAGAACUUGCACAACAGCCUGGCUUGCUGGCUGCCUGUUUGGCUGGCAGUCCCCUGGGAACCUUAGGAAGUCCCCCUUGUCCUCCCCUUGACCUUUGACCCCUUAGGCCUGCUACAGGCCAGAAUUCCAGGCAGUUGUCCUCUCUUUUACCUUCUGUUCCUGGCCAUUUCCCUUUAAG
ensembl:lncRNA